CAGAACCAUACUCCUGCCAGAACCAGCCAAUUCGUGGUAGGCAACGGUAUAGGCAGCCACUUCUAUGACAUCAUGGCCUGGAGCAGAUCUAUACCCUUCCGGUGUCCGAGGGCUUCCAAUCGACAACCUGGCUGUUUGUUGGCCAACGGCAGUAUACGCUUCAUCGGAGCGCGUCAAAGUUCCAGGUCUUCCAUGAUGACGUUAUUGGACAGAAAGAAAGAAGGGGACGCACGAGGAACGACGGCCGCUUUGAAAGAUGAUCCCCGUGACUAAUUCGGGAGAGCUGUCCCCGUUGACGAAGCAGCGCGGAAGCGCAGGACGCGUUGCCCUGUGCUCGGGACCCUGGCACGAGGACCGUGUCCUUCCUCGGCAGCCUUUUUGUUGAUGUUACUGUUUUCACUCAGCUGCUACAUACAAAAGGGCAGAGUGCUUUGCCGUGUUUCCGCAACCUCCUGCUGUUCCUUUCUGCGACGUGCACUCUCUUUCAUGUUCGUCUGCACUGGCCACUUUUGAGCUGCUUAGCUGACAUUGCUCCACAAAUUAUGUGCGGUGUGAAGUUCAAUAGGCUAACUCGAACUUUACGUGGACUGACAUGCGUUAGCCCGUGCUGACUUCCCAUUUCAUUUCAAUAUUCGAUCGCGUUUGUUCAUGUGUUUGUUUGAGCCGGCCUAUAAUUCCUGUGAACGAUUUGCUUAAGCGACAGGGAGUACGGGAAAUCAGCCGUGAUCCCAACCUCUCCUGCAGAAACACAGAAUAAUAAAGAAAAGCGGUAUGCGCCUUUAAACACAAACAUAAACACACACAAACCCACACACACACACACACAGUACG